rnacentral:lncRNA from 1 species
UGAUUCAGAAGUCGAUAAGACCAGGAGAAGUGAAGAUGUAACAUGUUAUCUGUCGCUCCUCUUAGCUGGCGGAGAGAAUUUACAUUUAAAGAUUAGCAGAGUGAGAAAGAGAAAUCUGCCUUUUGUUGUGUGGGGUGAGGAGGAGGCAUCUACCCCUGGCCUUGACGCUAUCUCCCAUCACCUCUGCUAUCCAGACAGGACUCACCGAGGCGCACGCGCCCAGCACCCUGCCUCCGGCGAUGCCGCCCCAGCCCCUCUGAUGGCCCUCCUCUCUGCUGCCACUCAUUCCAGAACAGGAGGCAUGAGCCCGGAACGCGCUUGCUUUUAGGAGACAGCCACUUUCUGUGUGGUACGCUGGAUUCAAGGAUGCCUGAUAAACCCCACUUGAAAAACUGAGGUGCUUAAGGAGUAAAAUAAUAUGUUCCUGGUGGCAUCCUCCAGAUCGUACUGAGAAGCACUCCACAAUGCCAGACUCACCUGUGGAUGUGAAGACGCAAUCUAGGCUGACUCCUCCAACAAUGCCACCUCCCCCAACUACUCAAGGAGCUCCAAGAACCAGUUCAUUUACACCGACAACGUUAACUAAUGGCACGAGCCAUUCUCCUACAGCCUUGAAUGGCGCCCCCUCACCACCCAAUGGCUUCAGCAAUGGGCCUUCCUCUUCUUCCUCCUCCUCUCUGGCUAAUCAACAGCUGCCCCCAGCCUGUGGUGCCAGGCAACUCAGCAAGCU